CUCACGCGGGCUUACUAUCCACUUCCAGUGGAGACCGCAGCGAGCUCGUUUUUAUUCCUUCUUUUCCUUUGACUUGCCCCUCUUUGCUCUGGUUAUGCCCUCGUGUACGGAGGCACCAUCAGCCCUAUUAUGCGUGGCGCCCCUGAGAAACCCAGGCCGUGGAUUGUCCCCGCGUUAGACCUAGUGACAAACUGCUUGUCCUUUCCUGUUAACACUUUUUUUCUCUAUUCUCUUGCAGUAAUUUUUUUGUCAGAGCUCGACUUCGGUUUAGAAAGGUUUUUUAAAACUAAUCUCAUCUGUGUGAAGCAGGAGCGCAGGAGAAGAGUGUCCAAUGAACGGACAGUUAAAGGGGUCAGAGGCAAAGAAUGAGGAGAAAAUGGAGAGCAUGGUCUGCGGGAGAAAGCAAGAAAGACAGAGAAAGAGAGAGAGAGGUAGGAGAAAGAGUACCGGUUCUGGCAAGAAAAACAGGAGGGGGAAGAGCAGAGAAGGGGGACCAGUAGGGGAUAAACUUAGGAAGGAGGGAUGGCUGGAUAGGAAUUGGCAAAAUUGCGGGAAAAAAAAGAGAAAAAAAGAAACUCCAGAAGGAGAAGAAACCGGACUGCUGGUCAAUCUCAGACUUGCAGACCUUGGUCGCAUUUGAUUUUUCUUUUUUGACAUGAUUUUUCAUCACUUCUCCGGUCACCCUCUCAUUCAUCUGUUCAGCCUCUGAGAGAACUUGAACUUUUUCCUUGAAGACGUGAUUUUUUUCAGCAGACUGUCUGGUUGGUGGUGAUGUUCUACAUCGUUGCCUCAGGAAUGCCGUGGUCAACCAUAGAAGCUCCCCAGUGAGAGGAGAGCCAUGGGAAAAACCUCAAACUAGAUCUCAUUUGUGAGAUCCAGUCCAUUUUGUCAAGACGCUGCAUUUCACGUCGGACCGCAUCGGCACCGACGGUAACCGCCCAACAUGAAGUCUAGAGUUAUAUACGUUAUAUUAAUGUGCUUUUUUGGGGGGGGGGAAUGUAAUCUCAUUUAACUUUAAAAUAAUGAAUAAUUCCUAAUAAACAAACAUGGCACAUACAUCACAGAAA